CGUAAAAAGCUCACAUAUUGUUGC
rnacentral:siRNA from 1 species